rnacentral:rRNA from 1 species
AGGACGAACGCUGGCGGCGUGCUUAACACAUGCAAGUGGAGCGACGAACCAGGCUUCGGCCUGGGGCAGAGCCGCGAACGGGUGAGUAACACGUGGGUAACCUGCCUCGAUGACCGGGACAACCCGGGGAAACCCGGGCUAAUACCGGAUGUGCUCCUUCACAUUAGUGAAGACAGGAAAGGAAGCUUCGGCCUCCGCAUCGAGAUGGGCCCGCGGCCCAUUAGCUUGUUGGUGAGGUAACGGCUCACCAAGGCUGCGAUGGGUAGCUGGUCUGAGAGGACGAUCAGCCACACUGGGACUGAGACACGGCCCAGACUCCUACGGGAGGCAGCAGUGGGGAAUCUUGCGCAAUGCGCGAAAGCGUGACGCAGCAACGCCGCGUGGGGAUGAAGGCCUUCGGGUUGUAAACCCCUUUUAGGAGGGACGAAAUUGACGGUACCUCCAGAAAAGCCCCGGCCAACUACGUGCCAGCAGCCGC